rnacentral:rRNA from 1 species
UUGGAGGGCAAGUCUGGUGCCAGCAGCCGCGGUAAUUCCAGCUCCAAUAGCGUAUAUUAAAGUUGUUGCAGUCAAAAAGCUCGUAGUUGAAUUCCGGGAUCAGUACGCCGGUCGUGCCUCCGGCAUGUACUGGUGUCACUGAUUCCUCCCUUCUGAAGAUGCAUCAUGCCAUUCACUUGGUGUGGUGGGGAAUCAGGACUGUUACUUUGAAAAAAUUAGAGUGUUUAAAGCAGGCUAACGCUUGAAUACAUUAGCAUGGAAUAAUGAAAUAGGACGUUCGAUCCUAUUUUGUUGGUUUCUAGGAUUGACGUAAUGAUUAAUAGGGAUAGUUGGGGGCAUUAGUAUUCAAUUGUCAGAGGUGAAAUUCUUGGAUUUAUUGAAGACUAACUACUGCGAAAGCAUUUGCCAAGGAUGUUUUCAUUAAUCAAGAGCGAAAGUUAGGGGAUCGAAGACGAUCAGAUACCGUCGUAGUCUUAACCAUAAACUAUGCCGACUAGGGAUCGGAUGAUGUUAAUUUUUUAAUGACUCAUUCGGCGCCUUACGGGAAAC